CUCGGCUAAACACAAUGGGAUUGUCACGAGAGGAUAAGGUCAAAGCCCUAAAAGUCUUUAAGAAUGCUGACAAUCGCGAGCUCUUCCUUUGCGUUGAUAUGGAUACAGCUCUCAUGUGGCUGCAAGGCGAAAUGGCUUAGGAAAGGAGAAAGAGAUGACAUGAUGAUGAAGCUUUUUUAGAUCUUGUCGUCUUCCAGCUUAUAUGAUGGGAGAUCAAGGAUGAACCGACUAAUGUUUGAUCAGAUGUCUACUAAGUUAUUUUGAUCAGGCUAUUCUAUGCUGCGUUUUUGCUAUUUAGCCGUGAAUAUAUAUGGUGUAAUAUUGGCAAAAAAGACUGCUAAACUGGUGUUUGGUUCAGCCAUGUAGUACAAGCUGGCUUGGUUUA